GAUGAACGCUGGCGGCGUGCCUAACACAUGCAAGUCGAACGGAGUUAUGAAGUUUUCGGACGGAUUAACUUAGUGGCGGACGGGUGAGUAACGCGUGGGUAACCUGCCUCAUACAGGGGGAUAACAGUUGGAAACGACUGCUAAAACCGCAUAACAUUGCGAUGCCGCAUGGCGAUGCAAUUAAAUAUUUAUAGGUAUGAGAUGGGCCCGCGUCUGAUUAGCUAGUUGGUGAGGUAAUGGCUCACCAAGGCGACGAUCAGUAGCCGGCUUGAGAGAGUGACCGGCCACAUUGGGACUGAGACACGGCCCAAACCCCUACGGGAGGCAGCAGUGGGGAAUAUUGCACAAUGGGCGAAAGCCUGAUGCAGCGACGCCGCGUGAGUGAAGAAGUAUUUCGGUAUGUAAAGCUCUAUCAGCAGGGAAGAUAAUGACGGUACCUGACUAAGAAGCCCCGGCUAACUACGUGCCAGCCGCCGCGGUAA
rnacentral:rRNA from 1 species